rnacentral:rRNA from 1 species
AGAAUCAACGCUGGCGGCGUGCCUAACACAUGCAAGUCGAACGAGAAAGUGGAGCAAUCCAUGAGUACAGUGGCGCACGGGUGAGUAACACGUGACUAACCUACCCUUGAGUGGGGGAUAACCUAGAGAAAUCUGGGCUAAUACCGCAUAAUACCUUCGGGUCAAAGGAGCAAUUCGCUUAAGGAGGGGGUCGCGGCCGAUUAGUUAGUUGGCGGGGUAAUGGCCCACCAAGACUAUGAUCGGUA